UAUAAAAGACAGUCGAUAACAAGAAGAAAGAUGCUGGAAAGCCAGCCAAAAAAAGACAAAGACCCAGUGAACAAAUAUGGGGCAAGGCCAAAAAGAAGAAGUGGCCCAAAGGCAAAGUUCAGGACAAGCUCAAUAACCUGGUCUUGUCUGACAAAGCAAGUUCCCAACUAUAAGCUUCUAACUCCAGCUGUCGUCUCUGAGAGACUGAA